GACUAAUAUUAACAAAAAGAGUUUAAUCCUGGCUCCGGAUGAACGUUUUAGAUUAGCUUAACACAUGCAAGUUAAACUUGAUUUAUCAAGUAGCAAACGGGUGAGUAAUAUGCGGAUAUAACUUUUUUAUUUUGUGUAUAAUAAAAUUAAUUGGUAAAAAAAAGUCUGCACAGGAUUAGAUUUUUGGGUAACUAAAAUUACUCAAGUCAAUGAUCCUUAGUUGGUCUUUGAGGAUGAACAACCACACUGGGAUUGAGAUAAGGCCCAAACUUAAUUUUUUAAGGCAGCAGUGGGGAAUCUUGGGCAAUGGACAAAAGUUUGACCCAGCUAAAUCUAGUGUGUGACAAAAAUUAAUAAUUGUAAAACACUGUUUUAAUAUAAAUUAUGAGGUAUUAGUAUAAGUCCUGGCUAAUUUCGUGCCAGCAGCCGCGGUAAAACGAAGAGGGCAAGCGUUAUACAAAUUUAUUGGGUGUAAAGGAUGAGUAGGUUGUCAAUUAAGUAGUAGUUCAAAAUUAAAAAUUCAUUUUUUAGAAAGCUGCUAUACUAAUUUUCUUGAGUUUAACAAAAGGUUGAAGAAUUUCAAGUGUAACAGUAAAAUGUAAUAAUAUUCGAAGGAAUCUCAAUCGCGAAGGCAUUAACCUAUGUUAUACUGACGCUAAGUUAUUAAAGUAUAGGUAUCAAAAGGGAUUAGAUACCCCCGUAGUCUAUACUAUGAACAAUGAGCGCUAACUUUAUUUUUUUAAAGUAUAGUAAACACGUUAAGCGCUCCACCUGGGAAGUAUGAUCGCAAGAUUAAAACCCAAAGGAAUUGACGGGAACUUGCACAAGCAGUGGAGCAUGUGGUUUAAAUCGACAAUCCGCGCAGAAUCUUACCAAUUUUUGUAUAUGUUUACAGGUGUUGCAUGGCUGUCGUCAGUCCGUGCUGUGAAGCGUUUGAUUAAUUUCAACGAACGGACGAAACUUUUGUUUAUUAGUUAUUAAAUAAUAAAGACUGACAAAGAUAUUUUGUAGGAAGGGAAAAACGACGUCAAGUCCUCAUGACCCUUAUAAAUUGGGCUACUUUCAUGUGCUACUAUAGUAUAAUCAAUAAAAAACAAUAUUUGUAAAUUAUUGUAGGUAAAAAGUAUACUUUUGGAUUGUUUUCUGCAACUCGAAAACAUGAAAAUGGAAUUGCUAGUAAUCGUGAAUUAGAAUUGUCACGGUGAAUUGUUCUCAGGUUUUGUACACACCGCCCGUCACACUACGGAAGUUUUAUUUGUUCUAAAAUUUUAAAACGAAAAAAUAACUGAAGUGAAGUCGUAACAAGGUAGCCGUAGGGGAACCUGCGGCUGAAAAAUAAAAUAAAUUUUUACCGUCUU
rnacentral:rRNA from 1 species